rfam:Sarcophilus harrisii ctg7180001704653, whole genome shotgun sequence.
CAAAAGGUUUUUUUCAAAACCAUGAGAAAGAAAACAAACAAAAAGU